rnacentral:rRNA from 1 species
AGAGUUUGAUCCUGGCUCAGGACGAACGCUGGCGGCGUGGAUUAGGCAUGCAAGUCGAACGGUAUCAUCCUUUCGGGGGUGAGAGAGUGGCGAACUGGUGAGUAACACGUAGGUUAUCUACCCUCAAGACGGGGACAACCCAGGGAAACUUGGGCUAAUACCGGAUGUGAGCAACUUUUAGUUGUUUGAAAGGUGGCGUAAGCUGUCGCUUGGGGAUGAGCCUGCGUCCUAUUAGUUAGUUGGUGAGGUAACGGCUCACCUAGGCAAUGAUAGGUAGGCGGCCUUAACGGGUGGUCGCCCACACUGGGAUUGAGAUACGGCCCAGACUCCUACGGGAGGCAGCAGUCGAGAAUAGUCUACAAUGGUCGGAAGACUGAUAGUGCGACGCCGCGUGAACGAGGAAUCCCUUCGGGGUGUAAAGUUCUUUUAUAUGUGAGCAGUGCUUCUUAUAUUAAGAGUAUGGGGAGAGAGAUAUUAGCAUAUGAAUAAGCAACGGCUAACUCCGUGCCAGCAGCCGCGGUAACACGGGGGUUGCGAGCGUUGUCCGGAAUUACUAGGCGUAAAGGGCAGGUAGGCGGAUCUAUAAGUUUUUUGUUAAAUUCAACGGCUCACCCGUUGCUCGGCAGGAGAUACUGUAGAUCUGGAAUGCGGUUGGGGAAGACAGAAUUCCUGGUGUAGCGGUGGAAUGCGCAGAGAUCAGGAGGAAUACCGAAGGCGAAGGCAGUCUUCUAAGCCGAUAUUGACGCUAAACUGCGAAGGUGUGGGGAUCAAACAGGAUUAGAUACCCUGGUAGUCCACACAGUAAACGAUAAUCACUAGGUGUUGGGUUCGUAUAGGACUCGGUGCCGGAGCUAACGCGAUAAGUGAUUCGCCUGGGGAGUACGAUCGCAAGGUUGAAACUCAAAGGAAUUGACGGGGGCCCGCACAAGCGGUGGAGCAUGUGGUUUAAUUCGA